rnacentral:rRNA from 1 species
GACGGAGGGUGAAAGCGUUAAGAGGAAUUACUGGGAGUAAAGGGAAAGCAGGCGGUCUGUCAAGUCGGAUGUGAAAUCCCCGGGCUCAACCUGGGAACUGCAUCCGAAACUGGCAGGCUAGAGUCUUGUAGAGGGGGGUAGAAUUCCAGGUGUAGCGGUGAAAUGCGUAGAGAUCUGGAGGAAUACCGGUGGCGAAGGCGGCCCCCUGGACAAAGACUGACGCUCAGGUGCGAAAGCGUGGGGAGCAAACAGGAUUAGAUACCCUGGUAGUCCACGCCGUAAACGAUGUCGACUUGGAGGUUGUGCCCUUGAGGCGUGGCUUCCGGAGCUAACGCGUUAAGUCGACCGCCUGGGGAGUACGGCCGCAAGGUUAAA